AUUGAACGCUGGCGGCAGGCCUAACACAUGUAAGUCGGACGGUAGCACAGAGGAGCUUGCUCCUCGGGUGACGAGUGGCGGACGGGUGAGUAAUGUCUGGGGAUCUGCCCGAUAGAGGGGGAUAACCACUGGAAACGGUGGCUAAUACCGCAUAACGUCGCAAGACCAAAGAGGGGGACCUUCGGGCCUCUCACUAUCGGAUGAACCCAGAUGGGAUUAGCUAGUAGGCGGGGUAAUGGCCCACCUAGGCGACGAUCCCUAGCUGGUCUGAGGGGAUGACCAGCCACACUGGAACUGAGACACGGUCCAGACUCCUACGGGAGGCAGCAGUGGGGAAUAUUGCACAAUGGGCGCAAGCCUGAUGCAGCCAUGCCGCGUGUAUGAAGAAGGCCUUCGGGUUGUAAAGUACUUUCAGCGGGGAGGAAGGCGAUGUGGUUAAUAACCUUGUCGAUUGACGUUACCCGCAGAAGAAGCACCGGCUAACUCCGUGCCAGCCGCCGCCGUAA
rnacentral:rRNA from 1 species